rnacentral:lncRNA from 1 species
UCCAUACAUCGGAUCAUUUUCUAUACUCAAAACUGUGGCCGACCAAGCGGCCUGGACAGCUCUGACAACAUAAGAGGACUUACGCAUAACAGGAAUUAUCAAGUGCAAUUGCUCCCCAUCAUGGAUACGAAGUUCAUGCCAGCACUGUUCUACACUGGCGCACCAAACAUGCAGAUCGCCCUCUCCGCAGUCUGGGUUACGUUGACAUGCCAAAGAACCAGACAUGUGCAAAAUUAUCAUGACACAGUCCAUACAGAUGGUCACGACGGUCGUACCAACGUCCACUGGGUCACUGAAGAACGCAUCGGGAGUCUGCCGCCAUCACCGCACGCGGGCGGCUGGACCGCUUCAUGUCCGAGCCGGACUCGCCCCGCCUGCUUCGCCACCAUGGUCGCACACCGAGCCGCCCUCACCCCUUCACGCCCGCGCAGGCCGCCGGCCUCCACUGCCACAAGU